ensembl:lncRNA
AGAUGAAAUAGGUCUAGCAGAUGAAAUAGGUCUAACAGAUGAAAUAGGUCUAGCAUUCAGCAGAGUGUUAUGUAUUAUAUCAAUACCACAGAUGGGUAAGGCUUACUAUACAAUCUUUAAUACAGUCCAACAGGAGCAGUAGGUUGAGGGUGUAAAAUGUUUAUUAAAUACACUAGAAACAUCAGAAUGGACAUGCAGGCUUUGCCCUCCCUGGCCACCAGGGAGCGCCACACCCACCUACCAGUAGAAUACAAAUGUUAUCAAAAUACAGUACAGAGAUCCUCAAAACACACACCUCACUGACCACAUAUGCUACGACCGCUAAUAACUUGCCUACGGCGCUCCUUAGGGCCCUUGUAACCAGUUAUAACCAUGGCUCUGGCUAUAACCAGUUAUAACCAUAGUUCAGUGGCUAUAACCAGUUAUAACCAUAGCUCAGUGGCUAUAACCUCUGAAGAGUACUAUUGCUUGUUUGUCAGGUGUUUUAUUACUCAAAAAUAAUAUAUUUAUAAUCCAAUAACUUAGUCAUGCACUAACUAAAUGGAUGUUAUUGAUGAUCUACCAGGGGAUCGAUCAAUGGAUAUGUAGGAUAUCGAUAGUUGGACCCAGAAAAAUGUAAUGACGAUUUUCCACAACCAAACAGAUCUUCGGUAAUCAAUCAUCACAAAUGAAAACCACACAUCAUGACUUCGGUAAUCAAUCAUCACAAAUGAAAACCACACGUCAUGACUUCGGUAAUCAAUCAUCACAUUGAUAAUAAAAACAGCCACGGAAACGAUUUAAUAAAUCACCACGAUUGAUCCUUUUGGGAAUAUUUUUUUUUUGUAUACCGUGGGCCACCCGUCCGAUUGGUGGCUGUACUGUGUACUACAGCAUUGUGGAGAUUAAUGGUUCGUCCUUUUCCACAACAGACUGGAUGUGGAGAAUUGAAAUAACUAAUAUCUAUAAUAUCAUGGUUGAGUUCAGUCAGAAAACCUUAUUAAUUGUUGACCUCAUAAGGUUUCUCUGAGAUUGUCCUUUUAGAAUGACAUCCCUGAUAACACUAUUCAGAGUGACAUCCCUGAUAACUAUUCAGAAUGACAUCCCUGAUAACUAUUCAGAAUGACAUCCCUGAUAACUAUUCAGAAUGACAUCCCUGAUAACACUAUUCAGAAUGACAUCCCUGAUAACACUAUUCAGAAUGACAUCCCUGAUAACACUAUUCAGAAUGACAUCCCUGAUAACACUAUUCAGAAUGACAUCCCUGAUAACUAUUCAGAAUGACAUCCCUGAUAACACUAUUCAGAAUGACAUCCCUGAUAACACUAUUCAGAAUGACAUCCCUGAUAACACUAUUCAGAAUGACAUCCCUGAUAACACUAUUCAGAGUGACAUCCCUGAUAACACUAUUCAGAAUGACAUCCCUGAUAACACUAUUCAGAAUGACAGAGCUCUCGUACACAGGACACAGGACUUUAACGUAGCAACGUAGACAAGUUUAUUUCAAAGAAAAUCCUCUGGUUAGACCCGUCCUGACCACUAGACCUGUCCUGACCACUAGACCCGUCCUGACUAGUUUAGACCCUGACUAGUUUAGACCCGUCCUGACCACUAGACCUGUCCUGACCACUAGACCCGUCCUGACUAGUUUAGACCCGUCCUGACCACUAGACCCAUCCUGACUAGUUUAGACCCGUCCUGACCAGUUUAGACCCGUCCUGACUAGUUUAGACCCGUCCUGACCACUAGACCCAUCCUGACUAGUUUAGACCCGUCCUGACCAGUUUAGACCCGUCCUGACUAGUUUAGACCCGUCCUGACCACUAGACCCGUCCUGACUAGUUUAGACCCGUCCUGACUAGUUUAGACCCGUCCUGACCACUAGACCCAUCCUGACUAGUUUAGACCCGUCCUGACCACUAGACCCGUCCUGACUAGUUUAGACCCGUCCUGACCACUAGACCCGUCCUGACUAGUUUAGACCCGUCCUGACUAGUUUAGACCCGUCCUGACCACUAGACCCGUCCUGAUUAGUUUAGACCCGUCCUGACCACUAGACCCGUCCUGACUAGUUUAGACCCGUCCUGACCACUAGACCCGUCCUGACUAGUUUAGACCCGUCCUGACUAGUUUAGACCCGUCCUGACCUCUAGACCCGUCCUGACUAGUUUAGACCCGUCCUGACCACUAGACCCGUCCUGACUACUAGACCCGUCCUGACUAGUUUAGACCCGUCCUGACCAGUUUAGACCCGUCCUGACCACUAGACCCGUCCUGACCACUAGACCCGUCCUGACCAGUUUAGACCCGUCCUGACCACUAGACCCGUCCUGACCAGUUUAGACCCAUCCUGACCAGUUAAGGCCGUCCUCUGACUAUUGACUAGUUAAGUUAGUUGGGGAAUGGGGGCUAGUUAAGUUCUGUGUGUUGUGGGCAGAGCUUAUUGCACUCACAGUGACUCCUUCAGUCUCCUGGUUAUCAAUAACGCUGGUUCAAUUCAAACAUAGUCUCUCAAACAAGGACACAUGGGCUACAAACUGGUAUCAACUCAACGUUUUCCUUGUUAUCUAUUAAACUGAUGAGGAAGGUGAUAGAGACUAGAAAUGAUCACGAUUAAGUUUUUCUUCUCAACAUUUUUUUCUGUUUCAGUGCAAGUCAGAUAUUUUCCCAUGAUGCCUUUGGCUUUGUUGCGGCAGCAACCUUUGACCUUUGCCAAACCCUGAGGAUCAAAAAACGACCCGAGUGACAACCGACACAACACCCCCAUCCAUCCUCUCGCUAAACCAUCUUCUCUCAAUUACAUCUCCUAUGUGACUUCUACCACCAUUACCCUAACUCACAUCAACCAUCAUUACCCUAACUCGCAUCAACCAUCAUUACCCUAACAUUACCCUAACUCACAUCAUUACCCUAACUCAAAUCAUUACCCUGACUCAAAUCAUUACCCUAACUCGCAUCAACCAUCAUCCUAACAUUGUGUCAGAGAGAGAGAGAGUAAUAUUUUCUAGGCAGGAACAGUGUGUGUGUGUCUUCUGAGAGAGAGAGAGUCAUUUUCUAGGCAGGGACAGUGUGUGUUUGUAUGGGACUAUGAUUUUAGAAAUUUGCAUAACAAGCUUGCACUCUGUUCCUUGUCUCCGUGUGAUGGGUGAAAAUAUGACCACUCGAUGAGGGAACGUGUGCAGCCUAUUCUGAAUUGAAUCUUGUGUAAAAUGAGUUUGGAUGUAGAAUGACCAGGAGGAUAAACACGUCAUCUGUGUGUAUGGGAACAUGGGGGCUCUACUUCCCCCUUUUUCAAUCAUGCCGCUACUCUGGUGUAGCAGAACAUGUGGCUAAUAGUAGCAGCUGUGAUCCUCUUUUCAAUGGCAGACAUCAACACCGCCUGAUUCCAUAUAGGAAUGUCUGGGAACACAUUCCACUCCACAAAUCCACCACUGUUUGAGGAGCACGCAGCCUCUCGUUGUGCUACAGGUGAUUUUCCACCCAAACUGUAUGCCAUGGGCUCUCCUACCCUGUUCCUGUAGCUACCCAGUACUCUGUAUACCAUGGGCUCUCCUACCCUGUUCCUGUAGCUACCCAGUACUCUGUAUGCCAUGGGCUCUCCUACCCUGUUCCUGUAGCUACCCAGUACUCUGUAUACCAUGGGCUCUCCUACCCUGUUCCUGUAGCUACCCAGUACUCUGUAUGCCAUGGGCUCUCCUACCCUGUUCCUGUAGCUACCCAGUACUCUGUAUGC